GAAAUCUUCUGUGCAGGUCCCAGCCACUCCAUGUCUCCAUGGCAGAUCAGAUGCGGGUGGCUGUCUGCGAGGAGAGUAUAGAACAUGGAGCAGAUUGUCUUCUUAGGUGCACACGGGCUGACACUCUGCAGAUGCAAACGUGCCGUUGAAACAAAGCAAGAGUGCUGUGUGGCUCCCAGAGCCUUGCCUGGGCCUGCGUUUCCUCCUCUUCCACUCAAGACUCACGUUAGCAGGGUUUUCCUGUUUCUAGACAACAGUCAUCAGCAUCAGAGAAGAAGGACUUGAAUUGUCUCUGACUUUCAGAACAGGGUUACAGACAACAUAGACAAACUCCGGGGAGAAUUUAUUGGAUGAAUAGUCAAAGCCUGAGAUCUAGGAGCUGGAGCAGUGAGCAGGUUGAUGCUACAAACUGGAUCCCGGGGCUCCCGAAGCCGAGUCUAAGGACCUUUCCUCUGCAGCUGACGCCUUCACGCCUGGUCUUUGGUGACUUGUCAUCAGCCCUCAGGAAGACAGGGCUGUGCCCUACAGCACGGACACCGAUAUCAUCAUUUCUCUGUAUCAGGCACUUCUCAGGCAAAGGGAAUGUUGGGAGAGGAAUGCAGUUUUUAAAGUUUUUUUUUAAAUUGAUAUAUUUUAUUUGAACUGUUAUAUAGUAUAGAAACAUUUUGUAGAACAGCAAAUGUUAUUAAUUUAGAAAGCGGUUUACCAUAAAAGAGAGACAUGGAAAAUAUUCAUGUGCUGGGCUGGAGGAGUGCUUGGCUGGUAUGUGUGAGGUCCUGGGUUCAAUCCCGAGGAAACCUCCUCCCCACAAAGGAAAAAAAAAAGCAGAAAAUGUUACAUGAUGACAUUUCAGAAUUCACUGCAAGUUUUUGAAGGUUCUGUGGAGGAUGAUUGACAUAAACUCCACAUAUUUGAAGGACAUGGUUUGGUAUAUUUUGGCACAUAUUGUACACAUCUGGAAAACUGCCACCUUGAUGAAGAUAAUGAGUUUACCUCACCCCUGGAUGUCUCCUUGUGCCUUUGCCUUUGUAUUCCUUCCCUGGCCUUGCUGUUCCUAAGCGCCUACUGUUUAUGUCCCCUGGAUUGGCUUGCAUUCUUUAGAGUAAAU
rnacentral:lncRNA from 1 species